GACGACCUCUAAUCUUCGCCUAA
rnacentral:siRNA from 1 species